AUUGCCAGAACAGAGAGCAAGCUGAGAUAACAGAUGGGAAGAAAACAUCUGGAAAAUACUCGAGGCUCCAGUUCAUGUCACCACUUCUGCAGUUGAACUUGGACAAAGAGAGUUAUAGGAUACAGGCAACAGAAAGUUGAACAGAGGCUCAGAAAAAGCAUAAAAAAGGAGUGAAGAAUUCUACCUGGGAGGACAGAAUCAGAUGCAUCGUCUCGAAGGAUUGAAAUCAUCUCUGUGGGAUGAGAACUCAGGGAACCCAAACAUCUGAAGGAGGGAG